rnacentral:lncRNA from 1 species
UAACAAACCCCCCCUUCGCUCCUAGAUGAGGAGGGGCCUGCUUCGGACCUCGCUAACCUACUCGAUGUCGUAGGAGAUGGUGGCAGUAGGGCAAGACAAGAUGGAGACAAUGUCUACCUAUCUGUCGUUGGAGGAUGCAAGGUCUAACUAGCUGGUGUGGAUGGAGUCUGAGCUGACUCUAGAGUCAUUAGUGCGGCAAAUCGCAACAACACAACACCAUUGGUUCAUCCUUAAUCUUCACAGGAUCGGUGCUCCACAUUCCC